AUUGAACGCUGGCGGCAGGCCUCACACAUUCAAGUCGACCGCGUGUCGGACGGGUGCGUAAUGUCUGGGAAACUUCCCGAUGGUGAGGGAUCACUACUGGACACAGUAACUAAUACCGCCAACCCUCCUAUAUCCCAAGAUGGGAUUAGCUAGUAGGUGGGGUAACGGCUCACCUAGGCGACGAUCCCUAGCUGGUGUGAGAGGAUGACAAGCCACACUGGAACUGAGACACGGUCCAGACUCCAACGGGAGGCAGCAGUGGGGAAUAUUGCACAAUGGGCGCAAGCCUGAUGCAGCCAUGCCGCGUGUAUGAAGAAGGCCUUCGGGUUGUAAAGUACUUUCAGCGAGGAGGCGUUACUCGCAGAAGAAGCACCGGCUAACUCCGUGCCAGCAGCCGCGGUAAUUC
rnacentral:rRNA from 1 species